AUUUGGUCAAGAUUGAACAAGAAACAGACAGCAAGGGUUGUCAGAUCAGAAACAGAAUGCCACACAAACACAAGAAACUUCACAGGCAGAUCAACAUGCAAUUUGAAGACGUGUGAUAAAAUACAGAGAGGUGAAGUAGUGUGUCUUUCCAGAUCCCCAAAUCAUUCCCCCUUAAAAGAUGAGCCUGAAGAGGAGAUUUGGGAAGAUGCUGUUUCAUAAGUCGCUUUGCCAGAUCACCUGUGAUGCUGUCAUCGUAUUAAGUACAGCAUGAGCCAGAAUAGAUGGGUGGUGGUGGCCAUAAGAAGACUGUCAACUAAACCAACAACAAAAUUCAUAUUUGCAGUUUUUCUUGAAUAAAGUUUUUCUAUUCAGAUUAAUAAAAUGACUUUUAA